AGAUUGAACGCUGGCGGCAUGCCUAACACAUGCAAGUCGAACGGGAGUAGCAAUACUCUAGUGGCGGACGGGUGAGGAAUACGUAGGAAUUUGCCCUUAAGUGGGGGAUAACCCGGGGAAACCCGGAUUAAUACCGCAUGACCUCGAAAGAGCAAAGUGGGGGAUCGCAAGACCUCACGCUUUUGGAGAAGCCUACGUCGGAUUAGCUAGUUGGUGAGGUAAUGGCUCACCAAGGCGACGAUCCGUAACUGGUCUGAGAGGAUGAUCAGUCACACCGGAACUGAGACACCGGUCCGGACUCCUACGGGAGGCAGCAGUGGGGAAUAGUUGGACAAGUGGGACGCAAG
rnacentral:rRNA from 1 species